GGGGGAGGGGAGGGACGCUCGUAAGCAUGAAAUCUACUUAAAUUCGAAAUAGACCAUAGAAUGGACUAUAUGAUUCAACACAAGCCCACGGGACAGUUCUCGGACAGGCAGCAGUGAAAUACCAGGAAGCUGCAGAAAACUCUUCACAUGGAAUAAACAGAGAUGAUUUGUAUUUAUGUUGGUGACUUGUGUAGAAUUUUGAGUGCUAAAAAUAAGAAGGAAGGAGGGGAAUAUGAUUUGAUAAUUAUGUGAAAGGUCUAUGGUUUCCAGUGUAGUGCUACCCUUGGAUAUUGUACUAAGAAUAUAUUCAACUCAUAAGCCUAGUUAAAAUAUGUACACGUGGUCACUUUUAAGGGUGGACACUUUGCAUUUGAAUAUCCGGAUACACAGACCACUAAACAGGGUAGGCCUAUUCCAAAUGUAUGGAAAUACACAAUGUCCAAAAAAAAAUGGAGACGGCUUAACAGUGAGCCAAUACAUCGAGUCAGCAAACAGCUCUUACAGAGUUAUUUUAGUUCGCAUCCACCAUUGAAACUAGCCCCUCGAGAGCUAUUAAGUGAGCAGAAUGCGAGUACCUGCCGGAGAAUGAUCUGAUAGCCUUGGAGUUCGCUUAGGAUUGGACCGAGCUCUGAGUGGUUUGCCAUUUUGGCUUCGAGCAACAAAGAGAGGGGGAUUUGAUGGCAAAAGAUGAACGGGAGACUGCGGGUGAGUUAUGCAGGUGCUAGUGGAGACGCUGUGUGAUAGAUAGAAAGGGGGCAGCACGUCGUGUAAGCAGGAGAUAAAUACUCAGGGAGAAGAAAGGGAGGUCUCAGAGCGAGAGAUAAAGAGUUCGGAAAAAUAAACGAAUGCUAUGCGGGGCUUAAAAAACUAGGAGAGGAACAUCAAAGCAUCCUCGCUGCUAAUCAAGGCUACAGCAGGGAGAGGUGAGCCCAGGAGCCAUCAGCAGUAAGGUGCAUCAGAGGCCCUCGGAGCCGCCACCCCUUCCCCUGUCCUCCCUGGCCUCUCACCCCGCCAUCUGGAGCUCUCACAUGGAGUCAAGCCCCCCUGCACCUGAAGCCCCUGGCCUGGAGAAUGGAGCACCACCUCUAUCCCAUUACUCUACCUGCUGCCAGCACACACACACACACACAGGAAUACUUUCCUCUUGAAAGAAACAAAAAACUCACAACUUCUGGUCCCUGUGACAGCCUGGCCUUGGGAUGCACCCAUAUUGCCUAGAAGCACUUGGCUAAACUCACACACACACACACACACACACACACACACAAACAUAGAGACACACAGAUACACCGAAUUCCUCUAAUGUAUCAGCAAUACCCAGGAAAUAAAAUUCCAGCCCGCGGUAAUUAGGUGGGAGUGAGGCUACAUGGUCACAGACAGAUGCACGUUGCCAUGGAAAGGGGCAAGGGUAGGCUUGUCUCAUCCAUUCGGUUGCUAUGGUGAAGGACAGGCCUCUUUUGCCUCUCAAACUGGAUGUACAUUUCGGACACUGGGCCAGUCAGAGAACACGGAAACACACGGCUAGCUCAGCCGCUAGCACGGACCUCUGUUGGAUGUUAACCAAUGCUGUACAGCUUGGACUACCAGACACAGUAUAUAUCUAUGUAAAAACACAUCAAGCCCCGGCAGUGGGUGUGAACAGAGAUCUAUCUAUAUGUGGGACAUGUCGUGGAGAUUGUUUUCAAUCAGAGAUUUUGGAAGGGUUUUGUUUUUCUUUUUUUCUCUCUUCUUUUUUUGAAAAAAAAAACCCAACAAAAAACAAACAUUAUUUACACAUUCCCUUCUUCGGUGUCAUGUUGAUAUAGUGUAUGGAUGAUAAUGGUGGCAUUUAUUGUGGUUUCUGACAUUUGAAAAAAAAAAAUAAAGUGGAUGGGAGAAGUGUCCCCCUUUCUCUGGAUCUGA